rnacentral:rRNA from 1 species
ACCCGCUGAAUUUAAGCAUAUAAGUAAGUGGUGGAAAUUAAACCAAAUGGGAUUCCUUAAGUAAUUGCGAAUGAACAAGGACAUGCUUAGCUUGACAAUUGGAGCCUCUGGCUUCGACUUGUAUUUUUGAAAUGUAUUACCAACAGAGGUGCAGGUGUCAGCCUAUUGAAAGAAAGCGUCAAUGAGGGUGAGAAUCCUGUUUGUCAUGUGCAAUCCUCUGUGCACGGUGUAUGUUUGCUGAGUCACACUCCUUGGCAUUGGAAUGCAAAGUGGGUGGUAAGUUUCAUGUAAAGGUAAAUAUAGGAUUGAGACUGAUAGCACACAAGUACCAUGAGGGAAAUAUGAAAAGGACUUUGAAAAGAGAAUUAAAUGAGUUUGUAUUUGCUGAACAGAAAAUAAACAGAUUUGAUGUUGCUUGGUGAGAUUGUGGUGCUUGCUUGACAAUAGGUUUUGAUUGUGGGUGUGAUGAUUCUUGCUUUGCUUGCCAGUUUCUAUUUGUACAUUUGAUUACCCUUGCACAUGAAUGGUAAUUUUCCUGCGGGGUUUGGAUUGCAUGUGUUUGUGAUGAUUUGUGUUUUGAUACAUGUGUCUGGUGCUUUUGUAAUUGCUCAUUUCUUGAAGCUGGGCCUACCCUACUAGAGCUUACAAGCCCUGGCACACAAUUGCUGGCAAAAUGCUUCUGCUUGACCCGUCUUGAAACACGGACCAAGGAGUCUAACAGAUGUGCAAGCUUGAGGGUUGCAUACCUUUGUGCGCAAUGAAAGUGUUGGCUGGGAUAUUUGCACCAGCAGCCGACCAAUUAGCAGACAGAGGUUCGAGUUGGAGCAUAUCUAUUAGGACCCGAAAGAUGGUGAACUAUGCCUGAACAGAAUGAAUCAGAGAAACUCUGAUGGAGGUUCGUAUCGAUACUGACGUGCAAA